AGGGUUUGAUCAUGGCUCAGGACGAACGCUGGCGGCAUGCCUAACACAUGCAAGUCGAACGAGAAAGUUCCUUCGGGAGCAAUUAAAGUGGCGCACGGGUGAGUAACGCGUAGACAAUCUGCCCUUCAGUCUGGGACAACUUUUCGAAAGGAGAGCUAAUACCGGAUAACAAUGCAUGACACAAGUUGUAUAUUUGAAAGCUUUAUGUGCUGAAGGAGGGGUCUGCGUCCCAUUAGCUAGUUGGUAAGGUAAAGGCUUACCAAGGCAACGAUGGGUAGCGGGUUUGAGAGGACGAUCCGCCACACUGGAACUGAGACACGGUCCAGACUCCUACGGGAGGCAGCAGUGGGGAAUAUUGCACAAUGGAGGAAACUCUGAUGCAGCAAUGUCGCGUGAGUGAAGAAGGCCCUUGGGUCGUAAAGCUCUUUUAUGGGGGAAGAUGAUGACGGUACCCCAAGAAUAAGCACCGGCUAACUAUGUGCCAGCAGCCGCGGUAAUACAUAGGGUGCGAGCGUUGUUCGGAAUUACUGGGCGUAAAGGGCGCGCAGGCGGAAUAGUAAGUCGGAGGUGAAAGCCCGGGGCUCAACCCCGGAGGGUCUUUC
rnacentral:rRNA from 1 species